AGCAGCCGCGGUAAUUCCAGCUCCAAUAGCGUAUAUUAAAGUUGUUGCAGUUAAAAAGCUCGUAGUUGAAUUUCGGGACCAAUAUGUCGGUCGUGCUUCGGUACGUACUUGCAUUAUUGGUUUCUCCCUUCUGAAGAACCAUGAUGUCAUUAAUUUGGUGUCUUGGGGAAUCAGGACUGUUACUUUGAAAAAAUUAGAGUGUUUAAAGCAGGCUCACGCUUGAAUACAUUAGCAUGGAAUAAUGAAAUAGGACGUUUGAUUCUAUUUUGUUGGUUUCUAGGAUCGACGUAAUGAUUAAUAGGGAUAGUUGGGGGCAUUAGUAUUCAAUUGUCAGAGGUGAAAUUCUUGGAUUUAUUGAAGACUAACUACUGCGAAAGCAUUUGCCAAGGAUGUUUUCAUUAAUCAAGAACGAAAGUUAGGGGAUCGAAGACGAUCAGAUACCGUCGUAGUCUUAACCAUAAACUAUGCCGACUAGGGAUCGGAUGAUGUUAAUUUUUUAAUGACUCAUUCGGCGCCUUAA
rnacentral:rRNA from 1 species